rnacentral:misc_RNA from 1 species
UCCCCGUUACCGGGGCAGUCUGAAUAGAAAAAUCCAACUAUUCAUAAGGGUUGCGCUCGUUGAUGGACUUAACCAAACAUCUCACGACACGAGCUGAAGACGGCCAUGCAACACCUGUCACUUGGUUCCCGAAGGCACUCACUGCUUUCGCAGUAAUUCCAAGGAUGUCAAGCCCUGGUAAGGUUCUUCGCUUAGCCUCGAAUUAAACAACACGCUCCACCGCUUGUGCAGCUCCCCGUCUAUUCCUUUGAGUUUUAAUCUUGCGACCGUACUCCCCAGGCGGGAUGCUUAACGCGUUAGCUUCGUUACUGACCGGGUCGAUACGGCCAACAACUAGCAUCCAUAGUUUACGGCGUGGACUAC